rnacentral:tRNA from 1 species
GAGGGUAUUGCUCAGUGGUAGAGUGCAUGCUUAGCAUGCACAAGAUCCUGGGUUCAAUCCCCAGUGUUUCCA